AUGUCCCAGCCUUCCCGACACUGGCAGUUUGAACAUGGGGACAGAUCUGAUGACUUCUGCAGGCACCUCAAAGAGGGGGAGGAGGAGAGAGGAGCAGAUGUAAUGCUCCAGAAGACGGGUGAAGAGAUGAAACCCUCUAUCACCCUUCGCCCCCCACCUUUGUUCCGCAGCAUCGGACCGUCGGGGCUGUCGGCCAGCCUACCACCCCACCGUCGUCUCCGCUCCAUAUUCCGCAGAUCCAGAGCGGUGCUGCCUGCGAAUAGACACACCGGCGAGGUUUCAGGAACACACACCCUCCAAGAUUUACUGUCAGGCACCCACAUCAACACACUCCCACAUCAACUGACUCACAAUGACGUAGUGUCAGAGAAGGACGUUCACAUAAACACAGACUCAGAGACACAAACACAGCCCAAGAGACUCAUGAGUGCACAUGGGCUCACUGUAUUAGAACCACCAACUGGACCUCUCACAGAUACACUCUCAUUCAUAGUCAGUGCUGAAAGCAGACAGCAGGGCGGACAGCCUUUUUCUCAGCUUUCCCCACCCCUAAGGACCCAUAUCAAAGGCAGGGCAAGAUGGGGCAGAGCAGUGUCUCCUCUUAAAAUGCGAGAUAAUCUUGGGACUGGAGAGGGAGGAGUGAAAGAGAAGCAGAAGGUGAAGAAGAGGAGGCUGGAGUGUAAAGGAGAGGACCAUGUCAAUGACAGAUAUGUCCCAUCCUUCACCCCAGAGACAGAGGGAGAUGGUGGACUGUGCCAGUGGUUACAGAGUCUGGGGAUUGGAGAUAGAGAGGAGGCCAUUUCCCCCAACAGAAGUAAACCGCAGCAGAGUGGGUUCAGAGAGAGGAUGGCUGGACACAGAGAGGGGUAUUUACAUCCAGCAGCCAACCACAGGAGAGACAGACGCCCCCACUUCCUCCCACCUAUCUGUCAGUCUGGCUCCCUCCUCCAUGUACCCCUGCUGCUUCCCGAUAACUCCCCGCCACCCUCGCCAUGCACCUCCCCACACGCCCCCUUCCAUCCCUUGCCUGUACCCCUCCUCCACCCUCUGCCCUUCAGGAGGAAGUGA
rnacentral:lncRNA from 8 species